CUCUUUCCCUGCAGCUCCAGGGCUCAGCUCUGGUGCUGGGAACAAGGGCUGCGGGUCAGACUCGCGGGUUCCCUUCCCAGCUCUGCCGCUUCCUGGCUGGGGGUCCUGGGGCAGGCGAUUCACUUCUCUGAGCGUCAGUUUUUCAUCUGUAAAGUGGGUGGGGUGGAUGUUUCUGUUGUAGGGGUUGGAGGUGGUGAACAGAAGGUCCAGCAGUCACCUGCACACAGUAGGCGCUUAUUUCAAUGACAUCACCCCCAUUUCUGAUGUCAUCAUGCUCAAGGUCUGGGAAGGCACCUGGGGGUUGUGACUGGCGUCUUGGUGGCCUUCGUCCUGUUGUUCUUCCUCCUCCUGCUCCUCUUCCUUGUCCUCCGACAUCGACGUCAGGGCAAACGUUGGACAUUGGCCCAGAGAAAGGCUGAUUUCCAACAUCCUGCAGGGGCUGUGGAGCCUAAGCCCAGAGACAGAGGCCUUCAGAGGAGGUCCAGCCCAGCUGCCCACACCCAGGAAGAAAACCUCUAUACUGCCGUGAAGGACACACAGCCUGAGGACGGGGUGGAGCUGGACAGUCAGGUGAGACCCCCCCGCCCCGUCAUGGGCACCAAAGACCUCCUGGUGCCAGAUCUAAUCCUGCAGGACUUCUCUGUCCUCUUCCCCCGGUUCUCAGCAUCGUCACGGUGGACCCCUCCUUGUCCAGCACGCUGCCUCCUGCCUGCUGUGACCUCACUCUCUCCUGCUGUCCUGGGACCUCGCAGGCCUCCUCCUGGGUCCCCUUCCCGCUCCUCCUCCUCUGUUUGGCCGUCU